rnacentral:rRNA from 1 species
UAGAGUUUGAAUCUGGCUCAGGACGAACGCUGGCGGCGUGCUUAACACAUGCAAGUCGAACGAUGAUGCCCAGCUUGCUGGGCGGAUUAGUGGCGAACGGGUGAGUAACACGUGGGUGAUCUGCCCUGCACUUCGGGAUAAGCCUGGGAAACUGGGUCUAAUACCGGAUAUGACCACGGGAUGCAUGUCCUGUGGUGGAAAGGUUUACUGGUGCAGGAUGAGCCCGCGGCCUAUCAGCUUGUUGGUGGGGUAAUGGCCUACCAAGGCGACGACGGGUAGCCGGCCUGAGAGGGCGACCGGCCACACUGGGACUGAGACACGGCCCAGACUCCUACGGGAGGCAGCAGUGGGGAAUAUUGCACAAUGGGCGAAAGCCUGAUGCAGCGACGCCGCGUGAGGGAUGACGGCCUUCGGGUUGUAAACCUCUUUCAGCAGGGACGAAGCGCAAGUGACUGUACCUGCAGAAGAAGCACCGGCUAACUACGUGCCAGCAGCCGCGGUAAUACGUAGGGUGCGAGCGUUGUCCGGAAUUACUGGGCGUAAAGAGUUCGUAGGCGGUUUGUCGCGUCGUGUGUGAAAUCCCGCAGCUCAACUGCGGGCUUGCAGGCGAUACGGGCAGACUUGAGUACUGCAGGGGAGACUGGAAUUCCUGGUGUAGCGGUGAAAUGCGCAGAUAUCAGGAGGAACACCGGUGGCGAAGGCGGGUCUCUGGGCAGUAACUGACGCUGAGGAACGAAAGCGUGGGUAGCGAACAGGAUUAGAUACCCUGGUAGUCCACGCCGUAAACGGUGGGCGCUAGGUGUGGGUUUCCUUCCACGGGAUCCGUGCCGUAGCUAACGCAUAAGCG